rnacentral:rRNA from 1 species
CUCGUAGGCGGUUCAGUAAGUCGGGUGUGAAAACUCUGGGCUCAACCCAGAGAGGCCACCCGAUACUGCUGUGACUUGAGUAUGGUAGGGGAGCGGGGAAUUCCUGGUGUAGCGGUGAAAUGCGCAGAUAUCAGGAGGAACACCAGUGGCGAAGGCGCCGCUCUGGGCCGAAACUGACGCUGAGGAGCGAAAGCGUGGGUAGCAAACA